UACGAAGGGGGGCUAGCGUUGUUCGGAAUUACUGGGCGUAAAGGGCGCGUAGGCGGUGUGUCAAGUCAGGCGUGAAAGCCCCGGGCUCAACCUGGGAACCGCGCUUGAGACUGGCACGCUCGAGUUCGGGAGAGGAUGGUGGAAUUCCCCAGUGUAGAGGUGAAAAUUCGUAGAUAUUGGGAAGAACACCGAUGGCGAAGGCAGCCAUCUGGACCGACACUGACGCUGAGGCGCGAAAGCGUGGGGAGCAAACAGG
rnacentral:rRNA from 1 species